rnacentral:rRNA from 1 species
UGGGGAAUAUUGGACAAUGGGCGAAAGCCUGAUCCAGCCAUGCCGCGUGUGUGAAGAAGGUCUUCGGAUUGUAAAGCACUUUAAGUUGGGAGGAAGGGCAGUAAGCGAAUACCUUGCUGUUUUGACGUUACCGACAGAAUAAGCACCGGCUAACUCUGUGCCAGCAGCCGCGGUAAUACAGAGGGUGCAAGCGUUAAUCGGAAUUACUGGGCGUAAAGCGCGCGUAGGUGGUUCGUUAAGUUGAAUGUGAAAGCCCCGGGCUCAACCUAGGAACUGCAUCCAAAACAGGCGAGCUAGAGUAGGGCGGAGGGUGGUGGAAUUUCCUGUGUAGCGGUGAAAUGCGUGGAUAUAAGAGGGAACACCAGUGGCGAAGGCGACCACCUGGGCUCAUACUGACACUGAGGUGCGAAAGCGUGGGGAGCAAACAGG